GUAGCAUAAAUUUGAUAAAAUUCAUGUAUCCUCUUUUGAUUUUUGAUUUUUGCUUUCAUUGCCCUCAUUUGUAAGUUGCUUCGGACAAAAGCAUCUGCUAAAUGUAAAUGUAAUUUAUCACAUACUUAUCUUAUCUCAUCUUCAGGCGCAUGUGGAUUUCAUCUCUGCAUCUGCAGUACAACUGCAAAUUGGAGACACUUCUAACGGAGAAAUUGAGGAAGUUGCAGGUAAUGAUUUAUUGUGGCUCUUGAAGUAAUAUAUAAUCAUCUUCGCAACAGAUCGACCCAUUGAAUAAUCAUCAUAUUUCAUAAGACUUAUCUCAGCUGUUUUUUAAUAUUUAAAGGCUGCUUAAAUUACUUGACUUGACAGAAUAUUCCAGGACACUGGACUGAAACUUGACACUCUUGUUUCAGAUUGCCAGUGGUCAAAAGCCCAUUCUUAUGUAUCAGCUGACAGUUGAAGACUGUGAUGGAUAUGAAAACCAUUUCCAGCCACUUCACACAAUUCUUGGAAUUAAAUGUUAGCAUAUUUCUUUAAGUGAUGUGUCCAAUGUCUAAGAUGCUUUUAUAAAAUUAAAAUACCAGACGCUAACCUUUUAUUUUUUUUGCCAGUUUUACAGAAGAAAGAUCUUCACAUCAUGGUCUGUGACAUCACACAGCUUUUUGAAAAGCUAGAUCAGGAAGAAAUACACAAAAGGGUGAAGACUCAGGACAUGCUGCAUCUGUUGCUAUCUCGCUGGACGAAGACUCUGAACGUAUAGAGUAUCUCUUUCCUCACAGGCUGGAGGCUCAGAAUGUGGUCGUAUCUGUGGCUGGCUCAAAAGCUGGAGACUCAGAACUUGGUAUCUGUUAUUGCCUCUUUCCUCACGGACCAGAAGUUAAGAGCAUUGGUGUUUCUGAUACUGUCUCUCUAGAUGGGAGACUCAGAACUGUGUAUCUGCUAUUGUCUCACCCUUGCAAGCCAGAGUCUCAGAAAAUUCAAUGUAUCUGCCUUUGCCUCUCCCCUUACAGAACUGAGACUCAGAACAAGGAGUGUCUUUUGAAAGGGUACAUUUAUCCCUUUCCGAUUAGGAGGAGAUUGCAAUUUGGAGCUUCUCUAUUUCUAUGCUGUGAUUGGCUGUUUCCAUCAGAGCGAGGAAUAUGGUGUGGCCCAUCUUUUCUUUCCUCCACUAAAUGUUUUCUGUUGCUGUUUAUAAGACUUUGACUCAUUUUGGAAUGUCACGCCAUGCUUUCAUUAUGUACUUCUUUACCAUCCAUAACAAAUCAGCCUUGCAUACACGUUUUUUUUUUUUUUUUUUAAGUACAGAUUUGAUAUCUUUGCUUAUUCAGAUAAUGCAGCAUAAUUGCAGAUUUAUAUAACAAAUACAGCUUCUCUCAAGGCAAAGUUCACUGAAAACUGAUUUUCACUAUAAGAUUGCUUUGACUGGUUAAAUUUACCAACAUUACACCCAUGUUGAAUGGAAUGACUUGCCAAACUCAAUCCGAGCAGUCUUUAGCCAUCUUCAAGAAAUGGCUAAAAACACAUCUCUUCCAUCUUUAUUUGACCCUCUAACUCUAGCACUCUAUAUUCUAAUUCUAUUUUAUCUAUAUGUUUUCUUUUUUGGCAACACUUUAUAAUAACUUUCAUUAUUAAAUCAUUAACAAACAUUAUGUAAUGCUUAACGGAUUGUUAGUUAAUAUGCUGUAUAUUAACAUACCUAGAAACGUGAAAAAAAAUUGCUUGUUAAUGUUUAAUAAUAAAUGUAUUAAAUAUUACCUAAUAAUUAACA
ensembl:lncRNA